AAGCAGUAUCAUCACUCACUUUAUGAACAACAAGUUCCGUAACAAAUACGAGAUCUUAUGAGGAAUGUGAGGACUCAAGUAUUGCUCAAACUGAUCAAGCCUUACACAAGAAUUCGGAUCCCUUUCAUAUCCAAGGUCAAAGGGGAUGAAGAAAUACACUGCCGUGGAUAAGUGGAACACACAGCUUAGGUCCCUCUAUCAGACUGUUCGUUUGUGGUGCGUAUUAAGGUUUGACGAGCUCUUGCACGAAUUAAGGGUUGGCUCUCCACUUGUGUGCCUGAUCUGGUCAGCCAUCACAUAUGAACUAUCUUCUUCCUCUUAUAUUCUCUUCUCUGUUCCCCUUUGUUUUGGGUUUCAAGUUACAGAGAAGUUAUAUUUAGCCCGAGGAGACUUGAGGCUGCUUUUCAUAUUAAAGAA